rnacentral:rRNA from 1 species
AUUGAACGCUGGCGGCAUGCCUAACACAUGCAAGUCGAACGGUAACACGAAGAUCCUUCUUUCUUUGCUUACGAGUGGCGGGCGUGUGAGACAUGUCUGGGAAACUGCCUGAUGGAUGGGGAUAACUACUGGAAACGGUAGCUAAAACCGCAUAACGUCGCAAGACCAAAGAUGGGGACCUUCGGGCCUCUUGCCAUCGGCUGUGCCCAGAUGGGAUUAGCUAGUUGGUGGGGUAACGGCUCACCUAGGCGACGAUCCCUAGCUGGUCUGAGAGGAUGACCAGCCACACUGGAACUGAGACACGGUCCAGACUCCUACGGGAGGCAGCAGUGGGGAAUAUUGCACAAUGGGCGCAAGCCUGAUGCAGCCAUGCCGCGUGUGUGAAGAAGGCCUUCGGGUUGUAAAGUACUUUUAGCAGGGAGGAAGGGAGUAGAGUUAAUACCUUGGCGCAUUGACGGUACCCGCAGAAGAAGCACCGGCUAACUACGUG